rnacentral:rRNA from 1 species
AUAUAGAUUAAGUUAUUAAGGGCGCACGGUGGAUGCCUUGGCACUAGAAGCCGAUGAAGGACGUUACUAACGACGAUAUGCUUUGGGGAGCUGUAAGUAAGCUUUGAUCCAGAGAUUUCCGAAUGGGGAAACCCAGCACGAGUUAUGUCGUGUUAUCUGCAUGUGAAUACAUAGCAUGCAAGAAGGCAGACCCGGAGAACUGAAACAUCUUAGUACCCGGAGGAAGAGAAAGAAAAAUCGAUUCCCUGAGUAGCGGCGAGCGAAACGGGAAGAGCCCAAACCAAUAAGCUUGCUUAUUGGGGUUGUAGGACACUCUGUACGGAGUUACAAAAGAAUUUGUUAGACGAAUAACCUGGAAAGGUUAAUCAGAGAAGGUAAUAAUCCUGUAGUCGAAAACGAAUUCUCUCUUGAGUGGAUCCUGAGUACGACGGAGCACGUGAAAUUCCGUCGGAAUCUGGGAGGACCAUCUCCUAAGGCUAAAUACUCUCUAGUGACCGAUAGUGAACCAGUACCGUGAGGGAAAGGUGAAAAGUACCCCGGAAGGGGAGUGAAAGAGAACUUGAAACCGUGUGCUUACAAGUAGUCAGAGCCCGUUAAUGGGUGAUGGCGUGCCUUUUGUAGAAUGAACCGGCGAGUUACGAUCUGAUGCAAGGUUAAGCAGAAAAUGUGGAGCCGUAGCGAAAGCGAGUCUGAAUAGGGCGAAUGAGUAUUUGGUCGUAGACCCGAAACCAGGUGAUCUACCCUUGGUCAGGUUGAAGUUCAGGUAACACUGAAUGGAGGACCGAACCGACUUACGUUGAAAAGUGAGCGGAUG